rnacentral:rRNA from 1 species
UACAGAGGUCUCAAGCGUUGUUCGGAUUCAUUGGGCGUAAAGGGUGCGUAGGUGGCGCGCUAAGUCGGGUGUGAAAUCCCGGGGCUUAACCUCGGGACUGCAUUCGAUACUGGCGUGCUUGAGGACUGGAGAGGAGACUGGAAUUUACGGUGUAGCGGUGAAAUGCGUAGAUAUUCGCAAGAACACCAGUGGCGAAGGCGGCUCACUGGCCCGGUACUGACGCUGAGGCACGAAAGCGUGGGGAGCAAACAGG